GUUUAAGUUAUUAAAUUUAAAGUUUUAUUGUAAAUUUAUUGUAUUUGUACUCUUUACUGGUGAAUAUUUCCUUGUGUUCAAUCUUUAUGUUUAUUAUAUAAGCCACAUAUGUAUAUAAUAUGUGUUUCUGUAUUCAUGAUAUGUGGCAUGCAUAUAUUUAUGACAAAUCUCAAUAUACAAUCAAAGAGAGCUUGUAAACAUGCAAUAAUAAAGAAAAAGAGAGUACAGACUGUUUCUGAAUAUCCAACUCCAUAUUGAUAUGUUUCCGUAUUAACUACAUACUCGUGGCAAAUAUAAACAACGCAAACAUAAUCUUAGUUUGUCGAUAGCCCGUCAUGCUCGAUAAUUUGAAACAAAAGAUAACAAUUUAUUCCUUCAUAUGAAUAAGUAUGAGCUUUAUGCAAAGUUCAGUAGAAAAAUAAUACAAAUAAAAACCUUAAAUAUAUUUCAGUAAAGUUUUUUGUAAAUAGUCUGUGGCUGUAUGUAUAUACAAAUUAUGUUUGUGAAAUACUCUGUGAUAUUGUAAAUGUACAUAAUUUUAACAUUAAAAGCAUAGGCAUUUUUAAUCCUACAUAAAUAAUAAUCUACAAAAUAACAUUUUUUUUAAAUUCUCAGUUUCUGCUUCUGUUGUUCAUGUGCUUGAACUCCUUUUUUUCUUCCUUAGAAAACAAAAAAAUCCUUUGUUAGAAAGUGCCUUUUCACUAUAAAAUAAUUUUGAUAUAAAAUAUAAAAAUUUAAACCAAGUAAUUGGUUUCAGUUGUACAUAUAUAAAAUGUAUGUAAAUUUAAUAUGUCAUACCAACCUACUUUAUAUUUUGUUGUUCUUACAACUCUAUGAUUGAUUAACUAUCAUUUUACAUAAAAUAUUCAUAAAACUAUAACUGUAAAAUGCUUUUUAUAUCUCAACUGUGGCAGAGGGGCCAUUAUUUGUUACCCUUAUCUGGCUGUACGUCUGUAUGUCCCAAAAUUAGUCUCAAUUCUAUGACUUAAGUUUGCCUCAACCAAAUGUUAUGAAACUUAAACACAAACUCAGAUCAAGUUUUAAUUUUGGUGGCAUCACUUUUAUCAUUGUAGAGUUAUGUUCUCUAACAUUAGUUUGCCUCAUCCAAAGGUAAUGAUAUUAUACACAAUGCCUAUUAGCACUAAACACAGUUCAAGAAUGAAUUUGGGUAGGGUCACUAUAACUGAUCUUGAGUUAUGUCCCUUUAUCAUGUUGUAUUCAAGCGAGGGCAUAAUCUGUGUCCCAUGGACACAUUCCCUUUUCAUCUCAUUUAACUAAACAAAUUGAAAUCAAUGGUACAAUCAAUUUUGAUAAGUGAUCCUUCCUAGAUCGUAGUGUUGAAUUAAACAAGACUAGAAGAAAUGAAAAUUUUCUGUAAAAGACUUUUUUAAAGUCUAGUUGUCAGUAUAUCUUUUUUAAUGUGGUUGAUUUAUGAAAGAAUUUCUGUUCAAAGACCUUCAAAAUGGCAACAUAAAAGAGGUAACUCUUUCUCAAAAGGUUUCAAUUGAAAAGGGUGUUAAACAAAAAGUUUUAUAUUUUCUACAAUCAUUUUUGUUUGUAAAUGAUGCAUAAUAUAAACAAAUAAUUGUACCGGUAUGUAUUUUAAAAUGAGUAUAAAAUUUUAUUAUAUUUUCUAAGGUUUUUAAUACUACAGUUUUAUUUUUUAAAGUUAGAAAUGCUACUUAUAAACAAUUGACAAUUGACAUUACGUAUCAAUGAAUAAUGAUAAGUAAAAUUUUAUGCUGUAGAUGCACAAUUGAAGUUGCUUGUAAUUAUAAACUUUUGCAAGCAGAAUAAAAAUUUUAAGCAGACUUUAAAACAUGAUUUAAACUGUUUUCAAAGUGAAAUUUGUACUAAAAACAUUUAAAAAGCAUGUGACGUUCCAAUUGAUAUACAUGUAUCAUAUGAGUACUAUAAAUUUAGAAAUUAGUAUGUGCAUUUAUUAUUUUGAUUUUCUCAUUUAAUACAUAAAGCAAUUAAUAUUUUUUCUAUACGAAAAAAAAUCAGAAUGUGAGUUUAAAUAAUUGCAAUUACAACACUAUCAGAUUUUUCGCAAUAAUGAUAACAUCACAAUAAUUUCUGAAUUUACAGUAAUUCAUUUAGAAAAAAAUUCUGACAGUAAAAAAUCAAACAGAACUAUUUGAACAAACACAGAUUCCUGCUGUUGAUUACCUUUAAAGAAUUUAAAAAAGAUCAUUAUUUAAAAACCACCUUAAUUGAAGUUUCAGUUUAAACAAAAACUUUUUGUUUCAAAUUAAUAAGUUUUAGGUAUUAUAGUAUAUGUUUGUUAUGAUUAAAACCACAUCAAAUUAUUAAAAUAAGUAUGAUUACCUAUGUAGAUGUAUUUUAUAGCCAUUUUUAUGGUGAUGUUUCAUAUGUUUAAGUUAUUCAAGUUGUAUGCUGUAAGUUCAAUGUACAUUUGUUAAUUUUUUAAAUGACUAGAAUUUUAUUUUGGCUGUUUAAAUUUUAGUUAUAUAAACUUGUUCAGUUGGAUGUCAAAAAUUUAUAACAUAAUAAAAAUUAUUAUUAAGCUAGAAUAAAAAAAAAAUAACAGAAUGAAAGGUUGCAUUACCAAAAUAUCAAAUUCUAUACAAUGAUAAACUGAAAUUUCCUGUUUAUCUUCCUACACUGCUUGCAAUCUCUGGGCUUUUGUAAAACUUAUUAUUUAAUAUCAAGACUUCUGUUUGUGAAUUUUUUUUUUUAAACAUUUCCAUCAAAAGAAAUACAUUUUGGGUUUACAAACCAUUUUAGUGUGUAUUAUGAAUUACAAUUUAGAGUUAUACUGACAUGUCUACUAGAAAGUAUUUGGACAGAAUUUAUUACAGAAAAUUCUAAUGUUUUGAAUUCAGAGUUGACAUGUAUAAAUUAAUGAUUGAUUAUCUUGAAAAUCAGGUCAAAUAAAGAACUGU
rnacentral:lncRNA from 1 species